rnacentral:rRNA from 1 species
GACGAACGCUGGCGGCGUGCUUAACACAUGCAAGUCGAGCGGUAAGGCCCUUUCGGGGGUACACGAGCGGCGAACGGGUGAGUAACACGUGGGUGACCUGCCCUCAGCUCUGGGAUAAGCCUGGGAAACCGGGUCUAAUACUGGAUAUGACUCCAUGACGCAUGUUGUGGGGUGGAAAGCCUUGUGCGGCUGAGGAUGGGCCCGCGGCCUAUCAGCUUGUUGGUGGGGUGAGGCCUACCAAGGCGACGACGGGUAGCCGGCCUGAGAGGGCGACCGGCCACACUGGGGACUGAGACACGGCCCAGACUCCUACGGGAGGCAGCAGUGGGGAAUCUUGCGCAAUGGGCGAAAGCCUGACGCAGCGACGCCGCGUGAGGGAUGACGGCCU